ACCAACUGAGUUUGUGAUCAACUCAGUGAGUUCAAACCAACUAACUCCUGGCCAAAAUAAAAAACUCCUAGCCUAACUCCAAUCCUCCAUUCGAUCCGAACCUGCACCCUAUAAAUUCAGAUCCUCACAAUUCAUUUUGGAGGUUCCCACUUUUUUUAUUCUGGAAUUGCUCACACUCUCCAUCCCCUCAAACUUCACUAUAUGUUCGGAAUCACCAAUCAAUGUUAGAGCUUCAACAUCAGAAGCUAUAAUCAGUGGAGCUUCGACCUCAACACUCCCACUUAUCCUCACAGAGCGAUGCGACAAGAACGCGAAAACAAUAGUAGGAAAAUCAAGAGGCAGAAGAAGAAGUUGAAGAAGAAAAAAGCGUAGGAAGAAGCGAAAGCAGAAUUUUUUGAAGGAGGCAAGGAGCUUACCGGAAUUCCGCCGUCGACUUCGUCUUCUCCGGAAGGUAAAAUGGCUUUUAUUACAGCAAAUCGAGUCAGUUGCAUAAAAAAAAAAGGUUCAUGCUAUUGAUAUUGAACAAAAAGAGGUUGUUGCUAAGAAGACUGCGGCUAGCAAAAAAAACAUACAUCUCAGAGAUGCUUUUGCUACUUAGUUUUAUUUCUUUUUAAGUUAUGAAUUGGUUGUAUAUUUAGAAUAUUUAGAAGUUAAACGAUUAUAUAUCAGUGGAUUGUUGUAUAUGUAUGGAUUGUUGUA